rnacentral:rRNA from 1 species
GACGAACGCUGGCGGCGUGCUUAACACAUGCAAGUCGAACGGAAAGGCCCUGAUUUUGUGGGGUGCUCGAGUGGCGAACGGGUGAGUAACACGUGAGUAACCUGCCCUUGACUUUGGGAUAACUUCAGGAAACUGGGGCUAAUAUCGGCUAGGAGCUCUUGCUGCAUGGUGGGGUCUGGAAAGUUUCGGCGGUUGGGGAUGGACUCGCGGCUUAUCAGCUUGCUGGUGGGGUAGUGGCUUACCAAGGCUUUGACGGGUAGCCGGCCUGGGAGGGUGACCGGCCACAUUGGGACGGAGAUGCGGCCCAGACUCCUACGGGAGGGAGGGGUGGGGAAUAUUGCACAAUGGGCGGAAGCCUGAUGCAGCAACGCCGCGUGCGGGAUGACGGCCUUCGGGUUGUAAACCACUUUCGCCUGUGACGAAGCGUGAGUGACGGUAAUGGGUAAAGAAGCACCGGCUAACUACGUG